rnacentral:rRNA from 1 species
GGGUUGUGAGGUUAAGCGACUAAGCGUACACGGUGGAUGCCCUGGCAGUCAGAGGCGAUGAAGGACGUGCUAAUCUGCGAAAAGCGUCGGUAAGGUGAUAUGAACCGUUAUAGCCGGCGAUGUCCGAAUGGGGAAACCCAGUGCAAUUCGUUGCACUAUCGUUAACUGAAUACAUAGGUUAACGAGGCGAACCGGGGGAACUGAAACAUCUAAGUACCCCGAGGAAAAGAAAUCAACCGAGAUUCCCCCAGUAGCGGCGAGCGAACGGGGAGCAGCCCAGAGUCUGAAUCAGCUUGUGUGUUAGUGGAACGGUCUGGAAAGUCCGACGGUACAGGGUGAUAGUCCCGUACACCAAAAUGCACAGGCUGUGAACUCGAAGAGUAGGGCGGGACACGUGGUAUCCUGUCUGAAUAUGGGGGGACCAUCCUCCAAGGCUAAAUACUCCUGACUGACCGAUAGUGAACCAGUACCGUGAGGGAAAGGCGAAAAGAACCCCGGCGAGGGGAGUGAAAAAGAACCUGAAACCGUGUACGUACAAGCAGUGGGAGCACCUUCGGGUGUGACUGCGUACCUUUUGUAUAAUGGGUCAGCGACUUAUAUUCUGUAGCAAGGUUAACCGUAUAGGGGAGCCGCAGGGAAACCGAGUCUUAACUGGGCGUUAAGUUGCAGGGUAUAGACCCGAAACCCGGUGAUCUAGCCAUGGGCAGGUUGAAGGUUGGGUAACACUAACUGGAGGACCGAACCGACUAAUGUUGAAAAAUUAGCGGAUGACUUGUGGCUGGGGGUGAAAGGCCAAUCAAACCGGGAGAUAGCUGGUUCUCCCCGAAAGCUAUUUAGGUAGCGCCUCGUGAACUCAUCUUCGGGGGUAGAGCACUGUUUCGGCUAGGGGGUCAUCCCGACUUACCAACCCGAUGCAAACUACGAAUACCGAAGAAUGUUAUCACGGGAGACACACGGCGGGUGCUAACGUCCGUCGUGAAGAGGGAAACAACCCAGACCGCCAGCUAAGGUCCCAAAGUCAUGGUUAAGUGGGAAACGAUGUGGGAAGGCACAGACAGCCAGGAUGUUGGCUUAGAAGCAGCCAUCAUUUAAAGAAAGCGUAAUAGCUCACUGGUCGAGUCGGCCUGCGCGGAAGAUGUAACGGGGCUAAACCAUGCACCGAAGCUGCGGCAGCGACACUAUGUGUUGUUGGGUAGGGGAGCGUUCUGUAAGCCUGCGAAGGUGUGCUGUGAGGCAUGCUGGAGGUAUCAGAAGUGCGAAUGCUGACAUAAGUAACGAUAAAGCGGGUGAAAAGCCCGCUCGCCGGAAGACCAAGGGUUCCUGUCCAACGUUAAUCGGGGCAGGGUGAGUCGACCCCUAAGGCGAGGCCGAAAGGCGUAGUCGAUGGGAAACAGGUUAAUAUUCCUGUACUUGGUGUUACUGCGAAGGGGGGACGGAGAAGGCUAUGUUAGCCGGGCGACGGUUGUCCCGGUUUAAGCAUGUAGGCUGAUUGUCCAGGCAAAUCCGGAUAAUCAAGGCUGAGGUGUGAUGACGAGGCACUACGGUGCUGAAGUAACAAAUGCCCUGCUUCCAGGAAAAGCCUCUAAGCAUCAGGUAACAUUAAAUCGUACCCCAAACCGACACAGGUGGUCAGGUAGAGAAUACCAAGGCGCUUGAGAGAACUCGGGUGAAGGAACUAGGCAAAAUGGUGCCGUAACUUCGGGAGAAGGCACGCUGGUGUGUAGGUGAAGUCCCUGCGGAUGGAGCUGAGACCAGUCGAAGAUACCAGCUGGCUGCAACUGUUUAUUAAAAACACAGCACUGUGCAAACACGAAAGUGGACGUAUACGGUGUGACGCCUGCCCGGUGCCGGAAGGUUAAUUGAUGGGGUUAUCCGUAAGGAGAAGCUCUUGAUCGAAGCCCCGGUAAACGGCGGCCGUAACUAUAACGGUCCUAAGGUAGCGAAAUUCCUUGUCGGGUAAGUUCCGACCUGCACGAAUGGCGUAAUGAUGGCCAGGCUGUCUCCACCCGAGACUCAGUGAAAUUGAACUCGCUGUGAAGAUGCAGUGUACCCGCGGCAAGACGGAAAGACCCCGUGAACCUUUACUAUAGCUUGACACUGAACAUUGAGCCUUGAUGUGUAGGAUAGGUGGGAGGCUUUGAAGCGUGGACGCCAGUCUGCGUGGAGCCAACCUUGAAAUACCACCCUUUAAUGUUUGAUGUUCUAACGUUGGCCCCUGACCGGGGUUGCGGACAGUGUCUGGUGGGUAGUUUGACUGGGGCGGUCUCCUCCCAAAGCGUAACGGAGGAGCACGAAGGUUAGCUAAUCCUGGUCGGACAUCAGGAGGUUAGUGCAAUGGCAUAAGCUAGCUUGACUGCGAGCGUGACGGCGCGAGCAGGUGCGAAAGCAGGUCAUAGUGAUCCGGUGGUUCUGAAUGGAAGGGCCAUCGCUCAACGGAUAAAAGGUACUCCGGGGAUAACAGGCUGAUACCGCCCAAGAGUUCAUAUCGACGGCGGUGUUUGGCACCUCGAUGUCGGCUCAUCACAUCCUGGGGCUGAAGUAGGUCCCAAGGGUAUGGCUGUUCGCCAUUUAAAGUGGUACGCGAGCUGGGUUUAGAACGUCGUGAGACAGUUCGGUCCCUAUCUGCCGUGGGCGCUGGAGAAUUGAGGGGGGCUGCUCCUAGUACGAGAGGACCGGAGUGGACGCAUCACUGGUGUUCGGGUUGUCAUGCCAAUGGCACUGCCCGGUAGCUAAAUGCGGAAGAGAUAAGUGCUGAAAGCAUCUAAGCACGAAACUUGCCCCGAGAUGAGUUCUCCCUGAGACUUUAAGUCUCCUGAAGGAACGUUAAAGACGAUGACGUUGAUAGGCCGGGUGUGUAAGCGCAGCGAUGCGUUGAGCUAACCGGUACUAAUGAACCGUGAGGCUUAACCUUACAACGCCGAAG